ensembl:lncRNA ETS2-AS1 ETS2 antisense RNA 1
GGGGGUCUUCUCUCUUGGCUUUGGAGCUCCCCAUUCCUCUGUGUCUGUAACAGGGGAGCUUCUUCCUUCUUUCUUCUCCCUUCUUUCUUGCCUGUUAAACUCUCUGCUUCUUAAAACCACUCCAUGUAUGUCCAGGUCAUUUUAUCUAAUUUGGAGACGGAGAACCCUGGUGUUCCUCUGCUCAUCAGAGCCGUCUCACCUGCAAGGGCCAGGAUCCAGCACUAGGGCUGCCCUUUAUGUUCAUGCAGCCUCCACUAGGAAGAUCCUCCUUAGCUGCCACCUGCUGUAAAGGGAUCUAUCUAUCUAUCUGUCUAUCUAUCUAUCUAUCUAUCUUUCUAUCUACCUGUCGAGAGAGAGAGAGGUUUAUUAUAAGGAAUUGACUCAUGUGAUUAUGGAGGCUGAGAAGUUCCACAGUCUGCUGUCUGCAAGCUGGAGACCCAGGAAGGCUGCUGGUGCCGUUCCAGUUUGAUUCUGAAGGCCUGAGAACCAGAACUGAUGGUAUGAGUUCUAGUCCAAGUCCACAGAAAUGAAACUGGAGAACCAAAGGUCCCACUCAACAUGAAGAUGACAAGGAUGAAGACCUUUAUGAUGAUCCAUUCCCACUUACUGAAUAAACUUCACCAGGACCCAGGAAAUAAGAUUUGAUUGCUGCACACUUAGAAACAAUGGCAAUCAAGGGAAAUGCCCCAUCUUACAUGGAGCUCUUCUAGUGGAAACACCAUGGUUGCCACCACGUACUGCUCCGUACCUAAGUUUCUAGGAACCAGACUCUGGAAACUCUUCUAGAACUGCCCCAGGAGAACCAACGUGUCUGUUGCUUGCAAAGACCUCCAGUGUCCCUGAGCCUGGCCACUGCCUCCCAUUGCUCAAACCCUCCUAGUCUCGUAUGUGGACAUCUGCUUGGAAGAAUCUCAUCCACGUACAAAAUCCUGGCUCUGGAUGAAGCUUCUUGGUGAUGUAACAGUCUGUGGAAACUCCCACAGGACAAAUGCAGAAAGGAAGGACCUAGAUCACUGGAUGGUCAACGUUGCCCCUUGCACAGCAGCAAAGGCCUAUACAAAUUUUUUGAGUAGCUUUAUCUAGUGGUUCAGCUACUGGGAAUAACUUGUAAAAUCCCCUGGAUAGUCAACAGCAUUGGGGCUUGCUUUGUAAACAGAGACCUGACCUACUUAAUUCUUCCCAGAGGUUGGAAAAAGAGGCUGGACUCACACAGACAUGAAACCUUGGCUUAAUUGGACACUAAUUACUCAUAAGAGAUCUGUUUACCCGAACUUCCCCUAGACCAAGCUCAGUAUAAAAUGAGAGGAUGCAUAAAGAAGCAAGAUAUUUAGAGGAAAAUGUCACAAAUACAUUUAUCAGUCCCAAAAGUCCUUUUUUUUCCCCAGAAGUGAUGUUGCUAAUUGCACAAAAAUAAACAAUACAGGGGUUGAUAAAUUCCACAUUUAAGGGCUGAGGAUAGUGUCCCUACAUUUCUAAGAAGCUGUAUAUUUGGAAAUGAAUACAAUUGAAAGUAAGGAUAAGUGGCAUUCUAAAGCCAAUUGGAUAACUUGAAUGAACAAGCAGAAUUUACCAUAUUUUGAUAUGUUUCUUUUUGAUUAAAGUAUCUGUAAAGGAAACAAAUUAUAGUAUUGCUAUAGAUUUUAUUACUGAACAAGAAAAAAA